GUUAGGAAUAUUGGACAAUGGGCGAAAGCCUGAUCCAGCCAUGCCGCGUGAACGAUGAAGGCCUUCGGGUUGUAAAGUUCUUUAGCCGAUGAUUAUAAUGACUGUAGUCGGAAAAUAAGCCCCGGCUAACUUCGUGCCAGCAGCCGCGGUAAUACGAAGGGGGCGAGCGUUAUUCGGAAUCACUGGGCGUAAAGCGUGCGUAGGCGGUUUUGUAAGUUAGGAGUGAAAGCCCAGGGCUCAACCUUGGAAUUGCUCUUAAAACUGCAAGGCUCGAAUCUCGGAGAGGAUAGCGGAAUUUCCAGUGUAGCAGUGAAAUGCGUAGAUAUUGGAAGGAACACCAGUGGCGUAAGCGGCUAUCUGGACGAGUAUUGACGCUGAGGUGCGAAAGCGUGGGGAGCAAACAGGAUUAGAUACCCGUGUAGUCC
rnacentral:rRNA from 1 species